UGUGUUGUAGCUUAGUGGUAGGACGCUUGCCUAGCAUGCAUGAGGCACUGGGUUCGAUCCCCAGCACCACAU
rnacentral:tRNA from 1 species